rnacentral:tRNA from 1 species
GAAGAAGUGGCCGAGCGGUCAAUGGCGGCAGACUGUAAAUCUGUUGAUUAUAUCUACGUAGGUUCGAAUCCUGCCUUCUUCA